rnacentral:lncRNA from 1 species
AAAAAAAGAAAUUCGCCCGGCGACUUGCAGAGCAGCAGCGUCGCCCGAGCGUCGAGUGGCGUCGAGGCCAUGCCGAGAGCGUCGCUUCAUCGCGGCGUCAGCUGAUUUCGGAACGCUCUGAUUGGUUGGCGGAAUUCGAGACGGCUUCGCUGUUAUGAUUCAUCACAUCACAACCUCCUCAACCGUCUCGACGCCGGCCAACGGUCGUGUUUGUGUUUUUGUUUAUUUGUUCCGUCGCGAGAUUUUGCUCUUACUUUUCGACAAAGACACCUCUUCGUUUAAAAAAGUUAUUAGUGUUUUUCCCAUCUGCUGAGACAGAUAAUCGAGUGUUAAAAAUUAUCAAACACUACAAGCAAUCAAUUACUGUGGCGGUUAAACACAUACCUACAUACCUUUUGCUGCGUUCAAAGUAUCCCUGCCCGAUUCUCAUUUACCGUGAUUUGUUUGCAGGCGUGGGAACAAUUCUGUGAAAGGCGUUUCUUGUAGAUAGAUGGUAUACAUCGCAUUGGGUGGAGUGCCUACUUCUCACAUCCUUACGUUACCUCACUACCUCAACUUCUCUUUGAGGCUUAGUCUGUAGAUUAUGCUUUGCUGUGAGAAGAUUUUGACGUUUUCUUUGCCUCUUGGAUUAGCUCUUGGAUGAGUGGAUAUGUCAUUCCUGCACUCAAACAACCAACUUCCGGCGCACAUAGUUGAUUGGAUCGAUGAUAAUAUCAUUUAAUGCGAGAUCCAGUCUGGAAAUUACUUUGCGUUGCUGUGAAAUGACAUGUGAUGAAUUUUUAGCGUGCGUUACCUCUACUGUUCAAUUAUGUCACUCCCUCAUUCAUGUGCAAGAAAUUGAUUGGAUGCAUGAGGGGCAUUUUCCUUGCCAGUAAGCGAAAAAAUUUUCGUUACUGAUUUGUCUGUAUUUAGAUCUCAUUCUAAUAGCCAUCACUACAUACUUGGUAAGCAUGGCUGAGUUACGAGCUCAGCGUUUGAAAAUUUGUUCGAUGCAGUUCUUGAAGGUAAGAAAACUAUUACUUCCAUCACUUCAAACCUUUUUCUAGAGGCCAUUUGUGAACAGUCACCGGCAGUAACUACCAUCUCGUCUUUAGUAUCCAGCCCACAUGGUCUUGAGGCUUUACUGUUAGCAUUUAGCAGUGAUACUUCAAUCGAUU